rnacentral:rRNA from 1 species
AGCAGCCGCGGUAAUUCCAGCUCCAAUAGCGUAUAUUAAAGUUGUUGCAGUUAAAAAGCUCGUAGUUGAAUUUCGGGAUUGGCGCAUCGGUCGUGCCUCACGGGGUAUGAACUGGUGCAGUCAAUUUCUCACCUUCUGGAGAACCGCGAUGUCCUUAAUUGGAUGCCGCGGGGAACCAGGACCUUUACUUUGAAAAAUUAGAGUGUUUAAAGCAGGCAUUUUUGCUUGAAUACAUUAGCAUGGAAUAAUAAAAUAGGACGGCAUGGUUCUAUUUUGUUGGUUUCUAGGACCACCGUAAUGAUUAAUAGGGAUAGUUGGGGGCAUUAGUAU